AAUCAACGCUGGCGGCGUGCUUAACACAUGCAAGUCGAGCGGUAAGGCCCUUUCGGGGGUACACGAGCGGCGAACGGGUGAGUAACACGUGGGUGACCUGCCCUCAGCUCUGGGAUAAGCCUGGGAAACCGGGUCUAAUACUGGAUAUGACUCCAUGACGCAUGUUGUGGGGUGGAAAGCCUUGUGCGGCUGAGGAUGGGCCCGCGGCCUAUCAGCUUGUUGGUGGGGGAUGGCCUACCAAGGCGACGACGGGUAGCCGGCCUGAGAGGGCGACCGGCCACACUGGGACUGAGACACGGCCCAGACUCCUACGGGAGGCAGCAGUGGGGAAUCUUGCGCAAUGGGCGAAAGCCUGACGCAGCGACGCCGCGUGAGGGAUGACGGCCU
rnacentral:rRNA from 1 species